CCUACGGGGUGCUGCAGUAGGGAAUAUUGCUCAAUGGGGGAAACCCUGAAGCAGCAACGCCGCGUGGAGGAUGAAGGUUUUCGGAUUGUAAACUCCUUUUGGUAGAGAAGAGAAGGACGGUAGCUAACGAAUAAGCACCGGCGAACGCCGUGCCAGCAGCCGCGGUAAUACGUAGGGUGCAAGCUUUCCUCGGAAUCACUGGGCGUAAAGAGCGCGUAGGCGGGAUAGCAAGUCAGAUGUGAACUCCUAUGGCUUAACCAUAGAACUGCAUUUGAAACUUUUAUUCUAGAGUAUGGGAGUGGUAGGUGGCAUUCUUGGUGUAGGCGUUCAAUCCGU
rnacentral:rRNA from 1 species